ACAUAAGCUUUGACGGGAAUCCAGUAGCGGUUUGUCUCCCUGUUUCAGAGAGCCGGCGGUAGGUGCGAGCCGGCGCACAGGCAAACGUGAAUUACCUCCCCAAGCUUUCUUUGUGAACCUUAGUAGCAAAGAACGGGAAACCGUUAUUCGAAUGAGCGGAAGACAAUGUCUUCAACCAGGGUGGUACCGCGUGCAUUGAGCCACGUCCCUUAU
rfam:Bacillus subtilis subsp. subtilis str. 168 complete genome.